rnacentral:rRNA from 1 species
AGAGUUUGAUCCUGGCUCAGGAUGAACGCUAGCGACAGGCUUAACACAUGCAAGUCGAGGGGCAGCGGGGUAGUGCUUGCACUACUGCCGGCGACCGGCGCACGGGUGAGUAACACGUAUGAAACCUGCCCGCAGCAGGGGGAUAAGCGGAAGAAAUUCCGUCUAAUACCGCGUAACAACGUUGGGAGGCAUCUCCUGGUGUUUAAAGAUUUAUCGGCUGCGGAUGGCCAUGCGGCGCAUUAGCUAGUCGGCGGGGUAACGGCCCACCGAGGCGACGAUGCGUAGGGGUUCUGAGAGGAAGGUCCCCCACACUGGUACUGAGACACGGACCAGACUCCUACGGGAGGCAGCAGUGAGGAAUAUUGGUCAAUGGCCGAGAGGCUGAACCAGCCAAGUCGCGUGAGGGAUGACGGCCCUACGGGUUGUAAACCUCUUUUGUCGGGGAGCAAAGAGAGUCACGUGUGGCUCAUUGAGAGUACCCGAAGAAAAAGCAUCGGCUAACUCCGUGCCAGCAGCCGCGGUAAUACGGAGGAUGCGAGCGUUAUCCGGAUUUAUUGGGUUUAAAGGGUGCGCAGGCGGAGGUGCAAGUCAGUGGUCAAAUUGCGGGGCUCAACCCCGUACUGCCGUUGAAACUGCAUCCCUUGAGUGCGCGAGAAGUAUGCGGAAUGCGUGGUGUAGCGGUGAAAUGCAUAGAUAUCACGCAGAACUCCGAUUGCGAAGGCAGCAUACCGGCGCGCAACUGACGCUCAUGCACGAAAGCGUGGGUAUCGAACAGGAUUAGAUACCCUGGUAGUCCACGCAGUAAACGAUGAACACUAACUGUUCGGCCAGAGUGAUGGCUGAGUGGUACAGCGAAAGCGUUAAGUGUUCCACCUGGGGAGUACGCCGGCAACGGUGAAACUCAAAGGAAUUGACGGGGGCCCGCACAAGCGGAGGAACAUGUGGUUUAAUUCGAUGAUACGCGAGGAACCUUACCCGGGCUCAAACGACACAGGAAUACUUUUGAAAGGAGGUAGCCCUUCGGGGCCUGUGUCGAGGUGCUGCAUGGUUGUCGUCAGCUCGUGCCGUGAGGUGUCGGCUUAAGUGCCAUAACGAGCGCAACCCCUAUCGCCAGUUGCCAUCAAGUAAAGUUGGGGACUCUGGCGAGACUGCCGGCGCAAGCUGUGAGGAAGGCGGGGAUGACGUCAAAUCAGCACGGCCCUUACGUCCGGGGGCGACACACGUGUUACAAUGGCAGGUACAGAGAGAAGCCAGGUGGCGACACCGAGCGGAACUCGAAAGCCUGUCUCAGUUCGGAUCGGAGUCUGCAACCCGACUCCGUGAAGCUGGAUUCGCUAGUAAUCGCGCAUCAGCCAUGGCGCGGUGAAUACGUUCCCGGGCCUUGUACACACCGCCCGUCAAGCCAUGGAAGCCGGGAGUGCCUGAAGUAUGCAACCGCAAGGAGCGUCCUAAGGUAAAACCGGUGACUGGGGCUAAGUCGUAACAAGGUAGCCGUACCGGAAGGUGCGGCUGGAACACCU